UCUUAUGGAUGAGUAAAGAAAGUGAUUUCUUGAGAUGAGAUGGAAUCUACUCCUUGUGAAGAGGCUGUGAA
rnacentral:pre_miRNA from 1 species